rnacentral:rRNA from 1 species
UACAGAGGGGGCAAGCGUUAUUCGGAAUUACUGGGCGUAAAGGGCGCGUAGGCGGCUUGGCAAGUGGAUGGUGAAAUCCCUCGGCUUAACCGAGGAACUGCCGUCCAAACUGCUUCGCUUGAGACCGGGAGAGGUGAGUGGAAUUCCCAGUGUAGCGGUGAAAUGCGUAGAUAUUGGGAGGAACACCAGUGGCGAAGGCGGCUCACUGGACCGGUACUGACGCUGAGGCACGAAAGCGUGGGGAGCAAACAGG